AAAGGUAUAGCUCAGUGGUAGAGUGAGUGCUUAGCAUGCAUGAGGUCCUGGGUUCAAUCCCCAGUACCUCCA
rnacentral:tRNA from 1 species